rnacentral:rRNA from 1 species
CAGCAGCCGCGGUAAUACGGAGGAUGCAAGCGUUAUCCGGAUUCAUUGGGUUUAAAGGGUGCGCAGGCGGGAAAGUAAGUCAGUGGUGAAAAACUGCCGCUCAACGGUAGUCGUGCCAUUGAUACUGCUUUUCUUGAGUUUGGAUGAGGUAGGCGGAAUGUGCAGUGUAGCGGUGAAAUGCAUAGAUAUUGCACAGAACACCAAUUGCGAAGGCAGCUUACUAAUCCACGACUGACGCUGAGGCACGAAAGCGUGGGGAGCGAACAGGAUUAGAUACCCUGGUAGUCCACGCCGUAAACGAUGUUCACUCGCUGUUUGCGAUACACAGUAAGCGGCUGAGCGAAAGCAUUAAGUGAACCACCUGGGGAGUACGAUCGCAAGGUUGAAACUCAAAGGAAUUGACGGGGGCCCGCACAAGCGGAGGAACAUGUGGUUUAAUUCGAUGAUACGCGAGGAACCUUACCUGGGCUUAAAUGUAGAGUGCAUGCGGUGGAAACACCCUUCCCUUCGGGGCUCUCUGCAAGGUGCUGCAUGGUUGUCGUCAGCUCGUGCCGUGAGGUGUCGGGUUAAGUCCCAUAACGAGCGCAACCCUUACCGUUAGUUGCCAACAGGUUAAGCUGGGGACUCUAGCGGGACUGCCACCGUAAGGUGAGAGGAAGGUGGGGAUGACGUCAAAUCAGCACGGCCCUUAUGUCCAGGGCUACACACGUGUUACAAUGGCCGGUACAGAGGGCAGCUACUCCGCGAGGAGAUGCUAAUCUUCAAAGCCGGUCUCAGUUCGGAUUGGAGUCUGCAACCCGACUCCAUGAAGUUGGAUUCGCUAGUAAUCGCGCAUCAGCCAUGGCGCGGUGAAUACGUUCCCGGGCCUUGUACACACCG